rnacentral:pre_miRNA from 1 species
GAUUAAAAAUUUCAUCAAUUUGUGUUGUUAAGAAGUGGCGUGAUUGACGGAAUAAUUAGACAGUGACAUAUGGCAUGCCAGCAUAAUAUAUAUAAACCAGUUUUUAACAGUAGACUUGGAUAGAAUUUUUAACA